rnacentral:rRNA from 1 species
AGUGAACGCUGGCGGUAGGCCUAACACAUGCAAGUCGAACGGCAGCACAGUAAGAGCUUGCUCUUACGGGUGGCGAGUGGCGGACGGGUGAGGAAUACAUCGGAAUCUACUUUUUCGUGGGGGAUAACGUAGGGAAACUUACGCUAAUACCGCAUACGACCUACGGGUGAAAGCAGGGGAUCUUCGGACCUUGCGCGAUUGAAUGAGCCGAUGUCGGAUUAGCUAGUUGGCGGGGUAAAGGCCCACCAAGGCGACGAUCCGUAGCUGGUCUGAGAGGAUGAUCAGCCACACUGGAACUGAGACACGGUCCAGACUCCUACGGGAGGCAGCAGUGGGGAAUAUUGGACAAUGGGCGCAAGCCUGAUCCAGCCAUACCGCGUGAGUGAAGAAGGCCUUCGGGUUGUAAAGCCCUUUUGUUGGGAAAGAAAAGCAGUAGGUUAAUACCCCGCUGUUCUGACGGUACCCAAAGAAUAAGCACCGGCUAACUUCGUG